rnacentral:rRNA from 1 species
AGAAUCAACGCUGGCGGCGUGCCUAACACAUGCAAGUCGCACGAGAAAGGGGAGCAAUCCCUGAGUAAAGUGGCGCACGGGUGAGUAACACGUGAAUAAUCUACCUCCGAGUGGGGAAUAACUGAGAGAAAUCUUAGCUAAUACCGCAUAACACUUACGAGUCAAAAGCAGCAAUGCGCUUGGAGAGGAGUUCGCGGCCGAUUAGUUAGUUGGCGGGUAAUGGCCCACCAAGCGAUGAUCGGUAUCCGG